CGUGUUAGACCCACCAGUACAACACUGCUGUCAGGUCUAGCCCAGUACAGCUCACAUACCUUAGCCCCACAGUAGAGUUUAGUCCAGCACAGUCAGGUCUAUAGACUGGUACAGUCAGGUCUAUAGACUGGUACAGUCAGGUCUAUAGACUAGUACAGUCAGGUCUAGACCAGUACAGAUUACAUCCUGGAUCACCAGGGACAGGUCUCGCCUAUUGGAUCUUCCUUACUGACCAGUC